rnacentral:rRNA from 1 species
AGAGUUUGAUCAUGGCUCAGGACGAACGCUGGCGGCGUGCCUAAUACAUGCAAGUCGAGCGGAUGACGAGGAGCUUGCUCCUCUGAUUCAGCGGCGGACGGGUGAGUAACACGUGGGCAACCUGCCUGUAAGACUGGGAUAACUCCGGGAAACCGGGGCUAAUACCGGAUAGGUGAUGUCUUCGCAUGAAGAGAUCAGGAAAGAUGGCUUCGGCUAUCACUUACAGAUGGGCCCGCGGCGCAUUAGCUAGUUGGUGAGGUAACGGCUCACCAAGGCGACGAUGCGUAGCCGACCUGAGAGGGUGAUCGGCCACACUGGGACUGAGACACGGCCCAGACUCCUACGGGAGGCAGCAGUAGGGAAUCUUCCGCAAUGGACGAAAGUCUGACGGAGCAACGCCGCGUGAGCGAAGAAGGUCUUCGGAUCGUAAAGCUCUGUUGUUAGGGAAGAACAAGUACCGUUCGAAUAGGGCGGUACCGUGACGGUACCUAACCAGAAAGCCACGGCUAACUACGUGCCAGCAGCCGCGGUAAUACGUAGGUGGCAAGCGUUGUCCGGAAUUAUUGGGCGUAAAGCGCGCGCAGGCGGCUUCUUAAGUCUGAUGUGAAAGCCCGCAGCUCAACUGCGGAGGGUCAUUGGAAACUGGGAAGCUUGAGUGCAGAAGAGGAGAGUGGAAUUCCACGUGUAGCGGUGAAAUGCGUAGAGAUGUGGAGGAACACCAGUGGCGAAGGCGGCUCUCUGGUCUGUAACUGACGCUGAGGCGCGAAAGCGUGGGGAGCAAACAGGAUUAGAUACCCUGGUAGUCCACGCCGUAAACGAUGAGUGCUAAGUGUUAGAGGGUUUCCGCCCUUUAGUGCUGCAGCUAACGCAUUAAGCACUCCGCCUGGGGAGUACGGCCGCAAGGCUGAAACUCAAGGAAUUGACGGA